rnacentral:rRNA from 1 species
GCUUGCUACCUGACCUAGCGGCGGACGGGUGAGUAAUGCUUAGGAAUCUGCCUAUUAGUGGGGGACAACAUUCCGAGAGGAAUGCUAAUACCGCAUACGCCCUACGGGGGAAAGCAGGGGAUCUUCGGACCUUGCGCUAAUAGAUGAGCCUAAGUCAGAUUAGCUAGUUGGUGGGGUAAAGGCCUACCAAGGCGACGAUCUGUAGCGGGUCUGAGAGGAUGAUCCGCCACACUGGGACUGAGACACGGCCCAGACUCCUACGGGAGGCAGCAGUGGGGAAUAUUGGACAAUGGGCGAAAGCCUGAUCCAGCCAUGCCGCGUGUGUGAAGAAGGCCUUUUGGUUGUAAAGCACUUUAAGCGAGGAGGAGGCUACUUGGAUUAAUACUCUAGGAUAGUGGACGUUACUCGCAGAAUAAGCACCGGCUAACUCUGUGCCAGCAGCCGCGGUAAUACAGAGGGUGCGAGCGUUAAUCGGAUUUACUGGGCGUAAAGCGUGCGUAGGCGGCUUCUUAAGUCGGAUGUGAAAUCCCUGAGCUUAACUUAGGAAUUGCAUUCGAUACUGGGAAGCUAGAGUAUGGGAGAGGAUGGUAGAAUUCCAGGUGUAGCGGUGAAAUGCGUAGAGAUCUGGAGGAAUACCGAUGGCGAAGGCAGCCAUCUGGCCUAAUACUGACGCUGAGGUACGAAAGCAUGGGGAGCAAACAGGAUUAGAUACCCUGGUAGUCCAUGCCGUAAACGAUGUCUACUAGCCGUUGGGGCCUUUGAGGCUUUAGUGGCGCAGCUAACGCGAUAAGUAGACCGCCUGGGGAGUACGGUCGCAAGACUAAAACUCAAAUGAAUUGACGGGGGCCCGCACAAGCGGUGGAGCAUGUGGUUUAAUUCGAUGCAACGCGAAGAACCUUACCUGGUCUUGACAUAGUAAGAACUUUCCAGAGAUGGAUUGGUGCCUUCGGGAACUUACAUACAGGUGCUGCAUGGCUGUCGUCAGCUCGUGUCGUGAGAUGUUGGGUUAAGUCCCGCAACGAGCGCAACCCUUUUCCUUAUUUGCCAGCGAGUAAUGUCGGGAACUUUAAGGAUACUGCCAGUGACAAACUGGAGGAAGGCGGGGACGACGUCAAGUCAUCAUGGCCCUUACGACCAGGGCUACACACGUGCUACAAUGGUCGGUACAAAGGGUUGCUACCUAGCGAUAGGAUGCUAAUCUCAAAAAGCCGAUCGUAGUCCGGAUUGGAGUCUGCAACUCGAC